UACGUAGGGCGCAAGCGUUAUCCGGAAUUAUUGGGCGUAAAGAGCUCGUAGGCGGUUUGUCGCGUCUGCCGUGAAAGUCCGGGGCUCAACUCCGGAUCUGCGGUGGGUACGGGCAGACUAGAGUGCAGUAGGGGAGACUGGAAUUCCUGGUGUAGCGGUGAAAUGCGCAGAUAUCAGGAGGAAUACCGAUGGCGAAGGCAGGUCUCUGGGCUGACACUGACGCUCAUGCACGAAAGCGUGGGGAGCAAACAGG
rnacentral:rRNA from 1 species